AAUUCCAGCUCUUAGGAGACAGAGGCAGGCAACUCUCCUAGUUCGUGGACAGCCUGGUUUACAGAGACAAGUUCCAAGCUAGUGACAGACCUGCAGAGUAAGACACUGCCGCCCCCACCAAGCAAAACCAAGCGAGAGGGUGAGCCGCAGAGUCGUCUGUGUAAUGGAUCCUUUCUAGAAAACAGAACAUUUCUUAGUCUGUGUCAUGAAGUUAAUACUGUCCUGAGACCUGCUGGGGACUCGAAGGCGAUGACACAGUUAGCCAGAGCAUGGGACAACACAGAGGCCACAUCCAGAAGAGCACAAGGACCAGAAAGUCCCCCAGAGAUAGAAGAUGUGAUCCAGUGGCACAGCAGGCAGCCUCGGAGUCGGAGGGAACAGAUGAGAGGAGCUCACUGAUAGCAGAUUAUCCUCAUCUGAACCCCGCAAGUGGGAUUGGAUGCAAAACUACAGCAAUGAUGCAUUUCCCAGGGACACAUUCCACGCAUGCUGUGCUUUGGAGACUCUAGAGAAGAAUUUCCCUGCAGAGACACUGACAACGGAAGCAGACUGUCUAUAAACAUGGAAUGCAAGCAAGAAGAGCUACAUUAGUUGAGUGCCUAACACCCUGAGGCUACACCGUUAGGGAAGGUCCUGUCUAUGGGAUCUGAACUCCUGGAGUGUCCCAUGACCUCCUCCAAGGUCUGCUCACACACUGGGAAUGGCUGUGUGGGAGAGAGUCAAGAUAAAAAAGUACUUGGCUAACAAUUCUGCUUGUCCAGUCCCUGGAAGAGCAUCUCCCCAGUGUUCCGGAGGCCGCUCAGUAGUCUGCAGAUACAGACCCAAAAAUGCCUCCCAGCUCCUUUAUCCUGGAUGCCACCCCGAGAAGCUUCGAGGCGCAAAUCAACACAGAUUUCUGUUUUGUUGACUCGGGUGGGUACUCACUGGCACAACCGCUCUAAAUCCUUCGAGUCAAAGUGAUCCCUGAUUGUACAGUUGAAGACUUGGAGCCUUCCCUGCAUGCAGUGACCUGGGAAGCACGGAUGCUGUCAGAGAAGGCGAGGUGAUACGAGAGCCGGUGACAAGCUUGAAGAGCCAGGGAGACCUUGGGCUGCUCACUGCAUUAGGGACUCGUGUUUGCGGAGGCCGUGGUGAUAAAGGACAGAGUGGCCUUGCGGUGUGGGGGAUCUUGCUGUUCAGCAUCUUAUCAGAACCAGAUUACUGCAUUUGAUUCUUUGGGUAAGCAUGAACUCAUCUGACCCUAGUGUGGGAGAGAGUCGUUGUCCUUGGACCGUCCAUGAGGACAGGGUCUUCUCAUCACCAUCUUGUCUUGCACCCAGAGCAGCUCAUGACACACUGCAAAUACUCAGUCAGUGUCUGUGGAUGGUUUGUUUGGUUUGGUGGCAGGGCCUUGGGUAUGGCUGGGGAAUGCUGGGCCACACGGCUGUGCCUCAGCCUCUUCAUCCCUAGUUUGUUUUAAAAGAUUUGCUUACUUUUUAAAAUAUAGUUUAACUUUAUUUUAUGUGCAUUGGUGUGAAGGUGUCAGAUCCCAGGGAACUGGAGUUACAGAUAAUUGUGAGCUGUCAUGUAGGUUCUGGGAGUUGAACCUGGGUCUUCUGGAAGAGUAGCCGGUGCUCUUAACCAUUGAGCCAUGUCUCAGCGCCAGAUUCGCUUACUUUUAUUGCCUGUGUUUGGAAGUUUUGCCUGCAGGUAUGUCUGUGUACCAUGUGCUUGCCUGGUGCCCACAGAGGCCAGAAGAGAGUUCAGAUCCCCUGGAACUGAAGUUAGGAUGGUUGUGAGCUGCCAGGCGUGAGGAAUCUGGAAAGCAAACUUAGGUGCUCUGGAAGAGCAGCCAGUACUCUUAUCUGAUGACCUAUUUCUCCAGCCUUUCUUUCAACACCAAUAAUCCUUCUUGCUUUGUCCUCUUCCUGGGGAAGUGUAGAUAUACUUGUUAAGAACUCAGGAUCUGGGAACCAGACUGGAUUUCAACGCCAAUGUGACCACUAGUUAGUCUGUGUUCUUGGAAGAAAUACUUAAUUUCUCUGUGUCCCAGUAUUCUCACAUGCAAAUUACAUGUAUGAUAUUGUCUGCUUCCUUGCAUGGGGUUAUGGUUUAAAUUGUAUUCCUCAAAAUAAAAAAGUAAAUAUCUUAA